rnacentral:rRNA from 1 species
UACGUAGGGGGCAAGCGUUGUCCGGAAUCAUUGGGCGUAAAGCGCGUGUAGGCGGUCCGAUAAGUUCGCUGUGAAAGUCGGGGGCUUAACCCUCGGAUGCCGGUGAAUACUGUCGGGCUUGAGUACGGAAGAGGCGAGUGGAAUUCCUGGUGUAGCGGUGAAAUGCGCAGAUAUCAGGAGGAACACCAAUUGCGAAGGCAGCUCGCUGGGACGUUACUGACGCUGAGACGCGAAAGCGUGGGUAGCAAACAGG